rnacentral:rRNA from 1 species
AACGAACGCUGGCGGCAGGCCUAACACAUGCAAGUCGAGCGGACCCUUCGGGGUUAGCGGCGGACGGGUGAGUAACGCGUGGGAAUAUGCCCUUCUCUACGGAAUAGUCCUGGGAAACUGGGGGUAAUACCGUAUACGCCCUUUGGGGGAAAGAUUUAUCGGGGAAGGAUUAGCCCGCGUUGGAUUAGGUAGUUGGUGGGGUAAUGGCCUACCAAGCCGACGAUCCAUAGCUGGUUUGAGAGGAUGAUCAGCCACACUGGGACUGAGACACGGCCCAGACGCCUCCGGGAGGCAGCAGUGGGGAAUGUUAGACAAUGGGGGCAAGCCUGAUCUAGCCAUGCCGCGUGAGGGAUGAAGGCCUUAGGGUUGUAAAGCUCUUUCAGCUGGGAAGAUAAUGACGGGACCAGCAGAAGAAGUCCCGGCUAACUCCGUG